CUGAGCGAGACGGGAGAGCCUGACCAGCCCUGGUUUCUUUCACACCUAUUUACAUGGACACCUUGGCCAAUAGAAAUCACUUCCAGCUCAGGACUGGGAGAGGGGGAAGAGCCGCGGCCACUGGUGGGGAGCCGGACGCGCUGGCGGUGUGCGCGGUGUGAAGGUAUGAAGAGGCAGCAGCCGCGGAGCAGGGAGCCAGGCGACCACUCACGUUCACAGACGGAGCUGCGGCGCAGAUGAUGUUUGACAUGGAAAUUGCUUGGCUGGGGUUCAUGGCAAGAAACACCUUAUCCCUACAGGAAAUCCCACAACCUUUAGCAAUGACUAUUCAUUGCCGUUUGUUCCCAGGAAUGUUUUCUCUUGAAAGCUGAUGGACUGAGCCUCUGUUCCCACAUCUAUCUUCUGUGGCAAAGAAUUCAGAUGUGAAAAGUAGCAGAGAGAAUUUCUCUUUCCUUGAGACCCUGAGGAAACUGAUCAUGACAUUUGGAAAAGUUUCACAAAGAAGCUUUGGCCCAGG